UUCCGCUCAGGGUUCAGGGAGCUUUGUGGAAGAGGAGGCCAAGAGAUCACAGGAGCUAGAGUGGCUGGAAGAUACUGGUGAAAUUAUUAAGGCCACUCCACGUAGUUAAAGGGAGAUUUAUUUAGUGGCAUAACUUACAAAUGAAGGGAUAGGUAGGUUGCAGGUUCUGGGAAAGACGCAGUGCAGUCCGGCGGUGUUCUCUGGAGAACUCUCCUUGGUCUACCUCUAGCGUCCAGGGUCCAGGAAACAAGAGAGCACGGCGUGUCCAGAUCUCAGGUCUUCAGGGCCCUCUCUUGGCCCUGCCUUGUAGGCGUGACAGUUACUGAAGCCUCAAUGGGGUAGCUGGAAUGGCUACCCACUACAGGAAGACCUGGAGGAGACAAGGCCUUCUGGACACAGCGGGACUGAGGCAUACAGAACUCACAGACACUGUGGCAGCAGGCACAGCGCCUGCCCAGGGGCAGGCCAGACAGGAUCUCAGCUCUGAGAGCGGGGGAUGGACACGAGCUCCAACCCCUAACCAAGACACUGUCUACAACGGACACCCACUGAUGAAGGAAAAAUCAGUUUUUUCCAAUGGAGUAUCAAGAGUACAUAUUCCAGGGCAGACCCUGUGCCCAGCAGCUGACAGCCAACACUAAAUGAUCUCAAGGGUAUUUUUGUAGACAUUUUUGCCUCAUAUUGCUUUGUUUAGGAUUCUGCUGCUCUUCACAACACACCGACUGCCAAGACUGGGGUACCGAAUGAGAAGAGAUUUUCCAGCUAAGUUCUAGAGGACACCAUGAUCCACUGCCUUGUCACCAAUUCCAGAAGAAUGAGGUUUCACCCUGCAAGCUUUUCUCUUCCUGGUUCCCUCUUCUAAUUAACUACUCAGCUAAUUGUUACAAGAUCACCAUAGAGCUGGAGUCCAAGGAUCAUCAGAUAUACCCAGGUGCUCCACAAAAUCCACCUGGACAGGUCAGCAAGCUCUGGAACCGGCUUGAAUCCACCCAGACAGCACCUUGUCAGAUGAUUUCCAAGGCAGCAGAUGACCCAGGACGCCUGUCUACCUCCAAAGCCUCCUUCCCUACCCAGCUAAGAGUCAACCAACACCCACCAAGUCAGCUGGAAGCAGUUUUUCCGGGAGAAACGACGCCCCUAUUCCUGUUCACCCG